CUUGACCUACGGGGCGCAGCAGCCGCGGUAAUACGUAUGGUGCAAGCGUUAUCCGGAUUUACUGGGUGUAAAGGGAGCGCAGGCGGCGCGUUAAGCCUGGUGUGAAAGCCCGCGGCCCAACCGCGGGACUGCAUUGGGAACUGGCGCGCUGGAGUGCCGGAGGGGUAGGCGGAAUUCCUAGUGUAGCGGUGAAAUGCGUAGAUAUUAGGAGGAACACCAGUGGCGAAGGCGGCCUACUGGACGGUGACUGACGCUGAGGCUCGAAAGCGUGGGGAGCAAACAGGAUUAGAAACCCGGGUAGUCCC
rnacentral:rRNA from 1 species